UUUACAAGCCAUGAGAGGGCUUGUACACAUGGGAAUGUAUACAUGGGAAUGUGCCUCAGAGGGUUGCCAAAGCAUACAGUGGCUACAUGGUGAAAGAUAAUGUUUGUACAGGAGAGAAGCUCCUGCAUGUUCUCUUUGCUGAUAGCAAAGUCAUUCUGAUUGAGAUCUGCGUAAAUAGCUCUGAUCUUCUCAUGCACAUAUGGACAAAUUUCUUUGACUUUCUCAAAUAGCUGAAACAUAAAUGUAGAUCAAUAUACAAAGAAUAGCAUCAUCAUUAUCACAUUGUUCUUCUUUAUAAUAACCUGUUUAAUUACACUCAAAAGCUGGUUUUAGUUGUAAUAUUACUUAAAGAAGACGUCUGGCUGGGCAUGGUCGCUCAUGCCUAUAAUGCCAGCACUUUGGGAAGCCAAAGCAGGUGGAUCACUUGAGCCCAGGAGUUCGACACCAGCCUGGGCAACUUGGUUUGUGUGGACUAUUUUACUUUGGCUUGUGAUGAUUUCUGACUAGGAAAACAAGAAGUAGGAGAUGAUUUCAGUAUCCACCCUUCUCACAGUGGGGUUCCUUACACAUGAUAAUCUGAUGCCUACCAGAGGAAACUCUAACCCAGACAGGAAAGUUCUUCAGAGUAAAAAUCAAGAAGGGUGAGAGUAGCUAUACAAUACAAGUAAGCCUUGGCCUGGACCCAGACAAGAUCAUUGCACAAGAGAUUGGUUUUGGAAGUAGAUUUGGCUGAGAUUAAAGUCUCGAGUGACAGGAAGACAAUGUUAAAGAUAAAUCCAAAUUCUUCUUUAUUGCUUGACACUUCUCCAAUCAGCAUCGACUUCAUUCCUGGUAAGUUGGUGUAGCAUGAAUGAGUUAUAAAGCCAAAGACCUCAAGAAAAGCACACUCCUUAACAGCCAGUUCAGAGGUGACAGCCAGGGAAUAAGAAAUAAGAACCUUCCAGAGGAUACAGCCACCACCAAAAAUGAUGGAAAAGAGGGUUCCUCCCAGAGAGUAGAUUCAGGGGCUAUUUAAGGAAUUUCCCCAUGCCCAGUGUAGGGAGCUUCUCACUACUUGCUACUCAGGAUUUCCUUAUGGUUAUAAUCUAGGGACUGCUGCUUGCCUGCUUGUCUUCUCUUUCUUGCAUAGCAGGUUUCUUUAUUUGUUUAAUUUUAAUUUUUUAUUCAAUUAUGGUGGUCUUUUCACUGUUCUACCAUGACAAGAGGUAGAACAGAGAUAUUUUUUACCUCUACAUGGAAGGCAGAAAAUUGGCCUUUUUAUUCAAGAAUGCCAAACCAGAAGCUGACAUAUCAGAAUCUGAUACAGAGGAUAGCCUAUUCCCCUUUGGACUUUGGACCUUGGACUUUUGAACUGGAUGCAAUAACAGUAUGAGACCCUUGGGUAGGAAUGAGUGUCUUGUAUGUGUGGGAAAGACAGGAAGGCAGGUAUUUGGUGACCUAAAAAGAAGGCCAUGGCAGAACUUCAUUAGUUGUUCAAUAAUCCUAUUUUUCCUUUCCUCCUGGGCACACAGCUAUGUAUUUUCCAGCCAUCCUCAUACUUAAGAUGUAGCCCAGUGACACUUCUGAGGGUGGAAUAUGGACAGAUGUGAUGGGCACUGCUGGACCUGGACCAUAAAAUCCUUCCACAUGAUGUCAGUGCCUCUUUUACCCCAUUGGCAGCUGGAUAUUGUCAUCCAGAGAGUUGGAUGACUUAGAAGCCAUGUGCAGAAGAUGGCAGCCUUCCACCAGCAUGGAUCCUUGAGUGACUGUGGAGUGCAACGCCUUCUUCCAGUUAGAACUACUGUGAUUGACAAUCACAUUUCAUUUGUAUUAAGCUACUGAUUUGGGGGGUUUAUCUCCUUCAGCUCCCACAUUAGUACAACUCAUGCAGAACAGAGAGUGACUGUGAACACAUGUGGCACAGGCUGGUGAAACCUAGGACUUUAUAGAUGAAUUUCUGAUUAUACUCUCCUUCCUUGCAAAAAGCUUUUUUCAAAUUAAAUGUUGUAAUAU
rnacentral:antisense_RNA from 1 species